rnacentral:rRNA from 1 species
ACGGACGCUGGCGGCGUGCUUAACACAUGCAAGUCGAACGGAAAGGCCCUGCUUUUGUGGGGUGCUCGCGUGGCGAACGGGUGAGUAACACGUGAGUAACCUGCCCUUGACUUUGGGAUAACUUCAGGAAACUGGGGCUAAUACCGGAUAGGAGCUCCUGCUGCCUGGUGGGGGUUGGAACGUUUCGGCGGUGGGGGAUGGACUCGCGGCUUAUCAGCGUGGUGGUGGGGCAGUGGCGUACCAAGGCUUUGACGGGUAGCCGGCCUGAGCGGGUGACCGGCCACAUUGGGACUGAGAGACGGCCCAGACUCCUACGGGAGGCAGCAGUGGGGAAUAUUGCACAAUGGGCGGAAGCCUGAUGCAGCAACGCCGCGUGCGGGAUGACGGCCUUCGGGUUGUAAACCGCUUUCGCCUGUGACGAAGCGUGAGUGACGGUAAUGGGUAAAGAAGCACCGGCUAACUACGUG